rnacentral:tRNA from 1 species
GCCCGGUUAGCUCAGCCGGUAGAGCGUUGGACUUUUAAUCCAAAGGCCAAGGUUUCCAGUCCCUUAUCGGGCU